GACCUUGUGGCGCAAUUGAAGCGCGUCGGGUUCCGGAGGCGAAGGUUACGGGUUCAAGUCCCGCCAGGGUUA